rnacentral:rRNA from 1 species
GAUGAACGCUGGCGGCGUGCUUAACACAUGCAAGUCGAACGAAGCAUUUAGAGCAGAUUACUUCGGUUUGAAGUUCUUUAUGACUGAGUGGCGGACGGGUGAGUAACGCGUGGGUAACCUGCCUUGUACUGGGGGAUAGCAGCUGGAAACGGCUGGUAAUACCGCAUAAGCGCACAAUGUUGCAUGACAUGGUGUGAAAAACUCCGGUGGUAUAAGAUGGACCCGCGUCUGAUUAGCUAGUUGGUGAGAUAACAGCCCACCAAGGCGACGAUCAGUAGCCGACCUGAGAGGGUGACCGGCCACAUUGGGACUGAGACACGGCCCAGACUCCUACGGGAGGCAGCAGUGGGGAAUAUUGCACAAUGGAGGAAACUCCGAUGCAGCGACGCCGCGUGAGUGAAGAAGUAAUUCGUUAUGUAAAGCUCUAUCAGCAGGGAAGAUAGUGACGGUACCUGACUAAGAAGCUCCGGCUAAAUACGUG